rnacentral:rRNA from 1 species
AUUGAACGCUGGCGGCAUGCUUUACACAUGCAAGUCGAGCGGCAGCGCGGGUGAGGGCAACUGAGCCUGGGCGGCGAGCGGCGAACGGGUGAGUAAUAGAUAGGAACGUAUCCGGGAGUGGGGGAUAACUAGCCGAAAGGUUAGCUAAUACCGCAUAUUCUCUGCGGAGGAAAGCGGGGGGACUUCUAAACCGGGGGUAUCUGAGGGAUCAGGUGCUUCAGGUUUAGGAGCCUCGCGCUCGCGGAGUGGCCUAUCUCCGAUUAGCUAGUUGGUGAGGUAAAGGCUCACCAAGGCGACGAUCGGUAGCUGGUCUGAGAGGAUGAUCAGCCACAC